rnacentral:rRNA from 1 species
UAGGGAAUCUUCGGCAAUGGACGGAAGUCUGACCGAGCAACGCCGCGUGAGUGAAGAAGGUUUUCGGAUCGUAAAGCUCUUUUGUUAGAGAAGAACGUUGGUAGGAGUGGAAAAUCUACCAAGUGACGUUAACUAACCAGAAAGGGACGGCUAACUACGUGCCAGCAGCCGCGGUAAUACGUAGGUCCCGAGCGUUGUCCGGAUUUAUUUGGCGUAAAGCGAGCGCAGGCGGUUCUUUAAGUCUGAAGUUAAAGGCAGUGGCUUAACCAUUGUACGCUUUGGAAACUGGAGGACUUGAGUGCAGAAGGGGAGAGUGGAAUUCCAUGUGGAGCGGUGAAAUGCGUAGAUAUAUGGAGGAACACCGGUGGCGAAAGCGGCUCUCUGGUCUGUAACUGACGCUGAGGCUCGAAAGCGUGGGGAGGAAACAGG